rnacentral:rRNA from 1 species
AAAGAUUAAGCCAUGCAUGUCUAAGUAUAAGCAAUUAUACAGCGAAACUGCGAAUGGCUCAUUAUAUAAGUUAUCGUUUAUUUGAUAGUACCUUACUACUUGGAUAACCGUGGUAAUUCUAGAGCUAAUACAUGCUAAAAAUCCCGACUUCGGAAGGGAUGUAUUUAUUAGAUUAAAAACCAAUGCCCUCCGGGGCUCACUGGUGAUUCAUGAUAACUCCUCGAAUCGCAUGGCCUUGCGCCGGCGAUGGUUCAUUCAAAUUUCUUCCCUAUCAACUUUCGAUGUUUGGGUAUUGGCCAAACAUGGUUGCAACGGGUAACGGAGGGUUAGGGCUCGACCCCGGAGAAGGAGCCUGAGAAACGGCUACUACAUCCAAGGAAGGCAGCAGGCGCGCAAAUUACCCAAUCCCGACACGGGGAGGUAGUGACAAUAAAUACUGAUACAGGGCUCUUUUGGGUCUUGUAAUUGGAAUGAGUACAAUUUAAAUCCCUUAACGAGGAACAAUUGGAGGGCAAGUCUGGUGCCAGCAGCCGCGGUAAUUCCAGCUCCAAUAGCGUAUAUUAAAGUUGUUGUGGUUAAAAAGCUCGUAGUUGAACCUUGGGCCUGGCUGGCCGGUCCGCCUCACCGCGUGUACUGGUCCGGCCGGGCCUUUCCCUCUGUGGAACCCCAUGCCCUUCACUGGGUGUGGCGGGGAAACAGGACUUUUACUGUGAAAAAAUUAGAGUGCUCCAGGCAGGCCUAUGCUCGAAUACAUUAGCAUGGAAUAAUAGAAUAGGACGUGUGGUUCUAUUUUGUUGGUUUCUAGGACCGCCGUAAUGAUUAAUAGGGACAGUCGGGGGCAUCAGUAUUCAAUUGUCAGAGGUGAAAUUCUUGGAUUUAUUGAAGACUAACUACUGCGAAAGCAUUUGCCAAGGAUGUUUUCAUUAAUCAGGAACGAAAGUUAGGGGAUCGAAGACGAUCAGAUACCGUCGUAGUCUUAACCAUAAACUAUGCCGACUAGGGAUCGGACGAUGUUAUAUUUUGACUCGUUCGGCACCUUACGAGAAAUCAAAGUGCUUGGGCUCC